rnacentral:rRNA from 1 species
GUGAACGCUGGCGGUAGGCCUAACACAUGCAAGUCGAACGGCAGCACAGUAAGAGCUUGCUCUUACGGGUGGCGAGUGGCGGACGGGUGAGGAAUACAUCGGAAUCUACUUUUUCGUGGGGGAUAACGUAGGGAAACUUACGCUAAUACCGCAUACGACCUACGGGUGAAAGCAGGGGAUCUUCGGACCUUGCGCGAUUGAAUGAGCCGAUGUCGGAUUAGCUAGUUGGCGGGGUAAAGGCCCACCACGGCGACGAUCCGUAGCUGGUCUGAGAGGAUGAUCAGCCACACUGGAACUGAGACACGGUCCAGACUCCUACGGGAGGCAGCAGUGGGGAAUAUUGGACAAUGGGCGCAAGCCUGAUCCAGCCAUACCGCGUGGGUGAAGAAGGCCUUCGGGUUGUAAAGCCCUUUUGUUGGGAAAGAAAAGCAGCAGGUUAAUACCCCGCUGUUCUGACGGUACCCAAAGAAUAAGCACCGGCUAACUUCGUG